AUUGAACGCUGGCGGCAGGCCUAACACAUGCAAGUCGAGCGGAGGAAGGGAGCUUGCUCCUGGAUUCAGCGGCGGACGGGUGAGUAAUGCCUAGGAAUCUGCCUGGUAGUGGGGGAUAACGUCCGGAAACGGGCGCUAAUACCGCAUACGUCCUGAGGGAGAAAGUGGGGGAUCUUCGGACCUCACGCUAUCAGAUGAGCCUAGGUCGGAUUAGCUGGUUGGUGGGGUAAAGGCCUACCAAGGCGACGAUCCGUAACUGGUCUGAGAGGAUGAUCAGUCACACUGGAACUGAGACACGGUCCAGACUCCUACGGGAGGCAGCAGUGGGGAAUAUUGGACCAUGGGCGAAAGCCUGAUCCAGCCAUGCCGCGUGUGUGAAGAAGGUCUUCGGAUUGUAAAGCACUUUAAGUUGGGAGGAAGGGCAGUAAGUUAAUACCUUGCUGUUUUGACGUUACCAACAGAAUAAGCACCGGCUAACUUCGUG
rnacentral:rRNA from 1 species